rnacentral:rRNA from 1 species
AUGAACGCUAGCGGCAGGCUUAACACAUGCAAGUCGAGGGGUAGAAGGAGCUUGCUCCUUUGGAGACCGGCGCACGGGUGCGUAACGCGUAUGCAAUCUACCUUUUGCAGAGGGAUAGCCCAGAGAAAUUUGGAUUAAUACCUCAUAGUAUGUGAGGAUGGCAUCAUUUUCACAUUAAAGUCACAACGGCAAAAGAUGAGCAUGCGUCCCAUUAGCUAGUUGGUAAGGUAACGGCUUACCAAGGCUACGAUGGGUAGGGGUCCUGAGAGGGAGAUCCCCCACACUGGUACUGAGACACGGACCAGACUCCUACGGGAGGCAGCAGUGAGGAAUAUUGGACAAUGGGCGCAAGCCUGAUCCAGCCAUGCCGCGUGCAGGAUGACGGUCCUAUGGAUUGUAAACUGCUUUGUACAGGAAGAAACACUACUUCGUGAAGUAGCUUGACGGUACUGUAAGAAUAAGGAUCGGCUAACUCCGUG